GAUGAACGCUGGCGGCGUGCCUAAUACAUGCAAGUCGAGCGAACAGACGAGGAGCUUGCUCCUCUGACGUUAGCGGCGGACGGGUGAGUAACACGUGGAUAACCUACCUAUAAGACUGGGAUAACUUCGGGAAACCGGAGCUAAUACCGGAUAACAUGUUGAACCGCAUGGUUCAACAGUGAAAGACGGUCUUGCUGUCACUUAUAGAUGGAUCCGCGCCGCAUUAGCUAGUUGGUAAGGUAACGGCUUACCAAGGCAACGAUGCGUAGCCGACCUGAGAGGGUGAUCGGCCACACUGGAACUGAGACACGGUCCAGACUCCUACGGGAGGCAGCAGUAGGGAAUCUUCCGCAAUGAGCGAAAGCCUGACGGAGCAACGCCGCGUGAGUGAAGAAGGUCUUCGGAUCGUAAAACUCUGUUAUUAGGGAAGAACAAAUGUGUAAGUAACUAUGCACGUCUUGACGGUACCUAAUCAGAAAGCCACGGCUAACUACGUG
rnacentral:rRNA from 1 species